GAUGAACGCUGGCGGCGUGCCUAAUACAUGCAAGUCGAGCGAACAGACGAGGAGCUUGCUCCUUUGACGUUAGCGGCGGACGGGUGAGAAACACGUAUGUAACCUACCUAUAAGACUGGGGUAACUUCGGGAAACCGGAGCUAAUAGCGUAUAAUAUUUCGAACCGCAUGGUUCGAUAGUGAAAGAUGGCUUUGCUAUCACGUAUAGAUGGACCUGCGCCGUAUUAGCUAGUUGGUAAGUUAACGGCUUACCAAGGCAACGAUACGUAGCCGACCUGAGAGGGUGAUAGGCGACCCUGGAACUGGACCAGGGUCAAGACUACUAAGGGAGGCAGCAGUAGGGAAUCUUACGCAAUAGGCGAAAGCAUGACGGAGCAACGCCGCGCGAGUGAUGGAGGUCUUCGGAGCGUAAAACUCUGUUAUUAGGGAAGAACAACCGUGUCAGUAACUGUGCACGUAUUGACGGUACCUAAUAAGAAAGCAACGGCUAACUACGUG
rnacentral:rRNA from 1 species